rnacentral:rRNA from 1 species
AUUGAGCGCUGGCGGCAUGCCUUACACAUGCAAGUCGAACGGCAGCACGGGAGCAAUCCUGGUGGCGAGUGGCGAACGGGUGAGUAAAGUAUCGGAACGUGCCCAGUCGUGGGGGAUAACGUAGCGAAAGUUACGCUAAUACCGCAUACGAUCUACGGAUGAAAGCGGGGGAUCGCAAGACCUCGCGCGAUUGGAGCGGCUGAUAUCAGAUUAGGUAGUUGGUGGGGUAAAGGCUCACCAAGCCGACGAUCUGUAGCUGGUCUGAGAGGACGACCAGCGACACUGGGACGGAGACACGGCCCAGACUCCGACGGGAGGCAGCAGUGGGGAAUUUUGGACAAUGGGCGCAAGCCUGAUCCAGCCAUGCCGCGUGCAGGAUGAAGGCCUUCGGGUUGUAAACUGCUUUUGUACGGAACGAAAAGGUUUGGCCUAAUAAGCUGGACCCAUGACGGUACCGUAAGAAUAAGCACCGGCUAACUACGUGCCAGCAGCCGCAGUAAAAC